rnacentral:rRNA from 1 species
GAUGAACGCUGGCGGCGUGUCUAAGGCAUGCAAGUCGAACGGACUGUUAUUUGUAGCAAUACUUAGAACAGUUAGUGGCAAACGGGUGCGUAACGCAUUGGUAACCUGCCUCAAAGUCGGGCAUAAUCCCGCGAAAGUGGGACUAAUUCCACGAUGGUCAUCGAAGGUGAGAUUCCUUCGAUGUAAAGUCGCAAGACGCUUUGAGAGGGGCCUAUGGCCUAUCAGCUUGUUGGUGAGGUAACGGCUCACCAAGGCUAUGACGGGUAGGGGGUGUGAGAGCACGACCCCCCUCACUGGGACUGAGACACUGCCCAGACACCUACGGGUGGCUGCAGUCGAGAAUAUUCCCCAAUGGCCGAAAGGCUGAGGGAGCGACGCCGCGUGCAGGAAU